AAUCAAAACUUUCAACAACGGAUCUCUUGGUUCUGGCAUCGAUGAAGAACGCAGCGAAAUGCGAUAAGUAAUGUGAAUUGCAGAAUUCAGUGAAUCAUCGAAUCUUUGAACGCACAUUGCGCCCGCCAGCAUUCUGGCGGGCAUGCCUGUUCGAGCGUCAUUUCAACCCUCGACUUCCCUCGGGGAAAUCGGCGUUGGGGAACGGCAGCAUACCGCCGUCCCCGAAAUGGAGUGGCGGCCCGUCCGCGGCGACCUCUGCGUAGUAAUCCAACUCGCACCGGAACCCCGACGUGGCCACGCCGUAAAACACCCAACUUCUGAACGUUGACCUCGGAUCAGGUAGGAAUACCCGCUGAACUUAAGCAUAUCAAUAAGCGGAGGAAAAGAAACCAACAGGGAUUGCCCCAGUAACGGCGAGUGAAGCGGCAACAGCUCAAAUUUGAAAUCUGGCCCUUCGGGUCCGAGUUGUAAUUUGUAGAGGAUGCUUUUGGCGAGGUGCCUUCGAGUUCCCUGGAACGGACGCCAUAGAGGGUGAGAGCCCCGUCUGGUCGGACACCGAGCCUCUGUAAAGCCCUUCGACGAGUCGAGUAGUUUGGGAAUGCUGCUCAAAAUGGGAGGUAUAUGUCUUCUAAAGCUAAAUAUUGGCCAGAGACCGAUAGCGCACAAGUAGAGUGAUCGAAAGAUGAAAAGCACUUUGAAAAGAGGGUUAAAAAGUACGUGAAAUUGUUGAAAGGGAAGCGCCUAUGACCAGACUUGGGCCCGGUGAAUCAUCCAGCGUUCUCGCUGGUGCACUUUGCCGGGCACAGGCCAGCAUCAGUUUGGCGCGGGGGAAAAAGGUUCUUGGGAAUGUGGCUCCCUCGGGAGUGUUAUAGCCCAUUGCGUAAUACCCUGCGCCGGACUGAGGUACGCGCAUUGCAAGGAUGCUGGCGUAAUGGUCAUCUGCGACCCGUCUUGAAACACGGACCAAGGAGUCUAUGCGAGUGUUCGGGUGUCAAACCCCUACGCGUAAUGAAAGUGAACGCAGGUGAGAGCUUCGGCGCAUCAUCGACCGAUCCUGAUGUUCUCGGAUGGAUUUGAGUAAGAGCAUACCUGUUGGGACCCGAAAGAUGGUGAACUAUGCCUGAAUAGGGUGAAGCCAGAGGAAACUCUGGUGGAGGCUCGUAGCGGUUCUGACGUGCAAAUCGAUCGUCAAAUUUGGGUAUAGGGGCGAAAGACUAAUCGAACCAUCUAGUAGCUGGUUCCUGCCGAAGUUUCCCUCAGGAUAGCAGAAACUCAGUUUUAUGAGGUAAAGCGAAUGAUUAGGGACUCGGGGGCCAUAUUGCCUUCAUCCAUUCUCAAACUUAAAUAUGUAAGAAGCCCUUGUUACUUAAUUGAACGUGGGCAUUCGAAUGUAUCAACACUAGUGGGCCAUUUUUUGGUAAGCAGAACUGGCGAUGCGGGAUGAACCGAACGCGAGGUUAAGGUGCCGGAGUGGACGCUCAUCAGACACCACAAAAGGUGUUAGUACAUCUUGACAGCAGGACGGUGGCCAUGGAAGUCGGAAUCCGCUAAGGACUGUGUAACAACUCACCUGCCGAAUGUACUAGCCCUGAAAAUGGAUGGCGCUCAAGCGUCCCACCCAUACCUCGCCCUCAGGGUAGAAACGAAGCCCUGAGGAGUAGGCGGACGUGGAGGUCAGUGACGAAGCCUAGGGCGUGAGCCCGGGUCGAACGGCCUCUAGUGCAGAUCUUGGUGGUAGUAGCAAAUACUUCAAUGAGAACUUGAAGGACGGAAGUGGAGAAAGGUUCCAUGUGAACAGCAGUUGGACAUGGGUUAGUCGAUCCUAAGUCAUAGGAAGUUCCCUCCGUUUCAAAGGAUAACUCUGCGCCGUGUGGCGAAAGGGAAGCCGGUUAAUAUUCCGGCACCUGAAUGUGGGUUUUGCGCGGCAACGCAACUGAACGCGGAGACGACGGCGGGAGCCCCGAGCAGAGUUCUCUUUUUCUUCUUAACGGUCUAUCACCCUGAAAUCGGUUUAUCCGGAGCUAGGGUUUAAUGGCCGGAAGAGCCCAGCACCUCUGCUGGGUUCGGUGCGCUCGACGUCCCUUGAAAAUCCGCGGAAGGAAUAAUUCUCACGUCAGGUCGUACUCAUAACCCGCAGCAGGUCUCCAAGGUGAACAGCCUCUGGUUGAUAGAACAAUGUAGAUAAGGGAAGUCGGCAAAAUAGAUCCGUAACUCGGGAUAAGGAUUGGCUCUAAGGGUUGGGUACGUUGGGCUUUGGAAGGA